rnacentral:misc_RNA from 1 species
UCUCCGUAGGUGAACCUGCGGAAGGAUCAUUAUUGUAUAAGCGCGCUGCGGGGGCUUUUGCUGACCCCAAAGCUCGUGCACGCCCGAAUGCCCUCCCACACAUCCAUCUCACCCCUAUGUGCACCACCGCAUGGGUCCCCCACUGACUUCUUUGGAUGGAGGCUUAUGUUUUCACACAAUCAUUGUAUACAAUGGAGAAUUUAUUUUUUGUUUUUGCGAACACGCAAUCAAUACAACUGUCCACAACUGAGCUCUUGGCUCUCCCAUCGAUGAAGAACG